AAUGAAAUCUCAGUUAAAAAAACAAAAAUGAAAAAAUAAUUCACAACAAAAAUUCAUUUUUCAAUAACAAUAAACCCGGGCCGCCUUUGGCGACCCGGCCACCACAUAGCCCUCGAAAAGUUAUGAAGGUUAAAAAAAAAAAAAAUCGACAAACAGAUUAAUCUACACAAAGUUAUGCUAUUUUGAAGUCUAAAACAAUUAAAUCUGGAAACACAAGAGAGUUUAGGAGCACGCUGGAAACAUUUUUUUUAAGGAAAUUGCAAUGUAGACCCUUUUAAUUAUCGAAAAUUGCAUAUACCACACCUUUUUCCAUUAACGAUGGAUGCUCUAACGAUGGAAGACUGUUUAGCUUCGCUCUGCACACUUGGAUGACCUGAUAAGAUCCGUUAAGAAUCUAAGGCUACUCUUUUAUCUCUUACAGUCUGGCCUUGAAUCUAAGAUUAAUCUAACGUACUUUGGGGAGGAACCCUAAUCAGAUUCAUAAUCUAAGGUUCUGCAAUUGUUGGUGUCUUCUUAUGCAGAAUCAAUGGCUAAUCUAAGGAAAACUUUGACUAGCACGGAUUGUAAUUCAGAGAUUUCAGACUCUUAACUCUAUCAAAAGCCACUGUACCUUUUCAUCCUUCAAUGUACUUUUUGCACCGAUCAAAAACUGCGGAAAGAAAGCAGAGCUGCAAUCCUUUGUGGUCUACUGUCCAUCUUCUCAUCUCCUCUUCUGCAGAAUAUACCAAUGUUCCAUCAGAUCUUUAAUUAUUUAACCAAUUUCUGCUUCUCUUCUUGUGCACAGACUGCAACCAGUCUGCAAAACCACUUCCAAAGAGAUCACUUCAAUGCUUUGCUUUAUCAUAUCACUCGAGCUGAUUAUCCUUUUAUUCAUCCUACUUACAUUAUGAAAGAUCUGACUUGAUAUCGUUGAAGCUGUGCUUUUCAUAGAAGUUACUUCCAAAGUUCCAGAUUGGUGUAUUGUUCUGUUUGCUAUGUGGCAGGUCUGUGCUGUCUAAUAAAGUCUUAAUACAGUCUCUUAUUUACCAGAGAUUGCAGCAACAACUGUGCAGGCUGCCUUUAAAGGCUACUUGGUAAUAUUUUUAAUCUCUUGGUGUGUUUGUUUUUUAAAUACAGUCUAAAUGAUAACGUGUUCCUAAUAAACUCUCAAUAUUAAGUACUUCCUAAUAUACUCUCAAUGAUAAGCACUUCCUAAUACACUCUCAAUGAUAACGUCUUCCUAAUAAACUCUCAAUGUU